rnacentral:lncRNA from 1 species
AUGAUUUCCUUUUGGCACUUCAAUUGAUGGGAUACAUCCAUCCCUUAUUCAUCCCUAGCGCAAGUCUAAUUUGGAGCCUUUGCCUAACCCACAACCUGCAAUAUUACCCUUCCUUUCAUCCAACAUAUCAACCUCUACGACUAUCCUAUCUACCUCUUCUACUUUAAACCAGUUAACCGUGCCUCCAAGCCCUACCCCUACAUCACGACUCGUCCCUCCUACUAAGACCAUGGUCAUUCGUAGCAUGAUAAGUGUCUAUAAACCUAGAAAGCCAUUUAACCUUUUUGUUUUCAUUGACGACCCAAAAAUGUCACCUUUUUCCAAACAUCACACCCU